rnacentral:SRP_RNA from 1 species
UCGUGCUAGAUGGGGAGAUAGCGGUGCCCUGUAACCCGCAAUCCGCUAUAGCGGGAUCGAAUUCCCAUCAAGAGGUCUCGCGCCUGUGGACUGAGCGGUGGAAAGUGGUGUCGAAGGUCAGAUUCUGCGCAACGCACGGCUUCCGAACUCCGUCAGGACCGGAAGGUAGCAGCGGUAGGAAUGUCUGUGCGUGUGCCGCAGAACUCUCUGACUGGAGCUAACUGUCAUCGCGACGACGACAGGACGAGAUCGAAGAUGGGUGCACGG